GUGCCAGCCGCCGCGGUAAUACGGAGGGUGCAAACGUUGCUCGGAAUCAUUGGGCGUAAAGCGCACGUAGGUGGCCUGUUAAGUCGGGUGUGAAAGCCCUCGGCUCAACCGAGGAAGUGCAUUCGAAACUAGCAGGCUUGAGUAUGGAAGAGGGUCGUGGAAUUCCCGGUGUAGAGGUGAAAUUCGUAGAUAUCGGGAGGAACACCAGUGGCGAAGGCGGCGACCUGGGCCAAUACUGACACUGAGGUGCGAAAGCGUGGGGAGCAAACAGGAUUAGAUACCCUUGUAGUCC
rnacentral:rRNA from 1 species